CUUGACCUCGGAUCAGGUAGGGAUACCCGCUGAACUUA
rnacentral:rRNA from 1 species